UACGGGGGGUGCAAGCAUUAAUCGGAUUUAUUGGGCGUAAAGGGCGCGUAGGCGGGCCUGUAAGUCAGAUGUGAAAGCCCGGAGCUCAACUCCGGAACAGCAUUUGAAACUGUGGGUCUAGAGGGUAGGCGGGGAAAAUGGAAUUCCACAAGUAGCGGUGAAAUGCGUAGAUAUGUGGAAGAACACCGGUGGCGAAGGCGAUUUUCUAGCUUAUACCUGACGCUGAGGCGCGAAAGUAAGGGGAUCAAACAGG
rnacentral:rRNA from 1 species